rnacentral:ncRNA from 2 species
UGUGCGGGUCGCGACUGGCGCAGCAGGUGGGGCACCACCGGGGAGCGACGCAGCAGCUGGACCAACGGGUCGGACGCCUGGGCCCACGGU